rnacentral:rRNA from 1 species
ACAGCAGCAGCCGCGGUAAUACGAAGGGUGCAAGCGUUAAUCGGAAUUACUGGGCGUAAAGCGUGCGUAGGCGGUGAGUUAAGUCUGCUGUGAAAUCCCCGGGCUCAACCUGGGAAUGGCAGUGGAUACUGGCUCGCUAGAGUGUGUCAGAGGAUGGUGGAAUUCCCGGUGUAGCGGUGAAAUGCGUAAAGAUCGGGAGGAACAUCAGUGGCGAAGGCGGCCAUCUGGGACAACACUGACGCUGAGGCACGAAAGCGUGGGGAGCAAACAGGAUUAGAUACCCCCGUAGUCCCUGUCUCUUAUAC